GUGUUUGAUGAAAGGAGAGGGUUAGCACUUUCCUUGACAAGGAUGGAUGGAAGAGGCCCCAGGCCUGACAACACACAUAUGGGUAAUGCAUUGCCACCUACUUUGUGACAUCUAACCAUGGUUUUUA
ensembl:snRNA